rnacentral:rRNA from 1 species
ACGAACGCUUGCGGCAUGCCUAACUCAUGCAAGUCGAACGAGACCUUCGGGUCUAGUGGCGCACGGGUGCGUAACGCGUGGGAACCUGCCCUUAGGUUCGGAAUAACUCCCCGAAAGGGGUGCUAAUACCGGAUAAUGUCUUCGGACCAAAGAUUUAUCGCCUUUGGAUGGGCCCGCGUUGGAUUAGCUAGUUGGUAGGGUAAAAGCCUACCAAGGCGACGAUCCAUAGCUGGUCUGAGAGGAUGAUCAGCCACACUGGGACUGAGACACGGCCCAGACUCCUACGGGAGGCAGCAGUGGGGAAUAUUGGACAAUGGGCGAAAGCCUGAUCCAGCAAUGCCGCGUGAGUGAUGAAGGCCUUAGGGUUGUAAAGCUCUUUUACCCGGGAUGAUAAUGACAGUACCGGGAGAAUAAGCUCCGGCUAACUCCGUG